GGGGUUGUGGCUCAGAGGGAAAGUGCUCACCUGGCAUGCGUGAGGCACUGGGUUCGAUCCUCAGCACCACA
rnacentral:tRNA from 1 species